GCAAAAAUGAGCACAUUCAGGCAUGAGAGAAAGAAGUGAAAUCAGAUUGUAUUGCAUUUCUUUGGCAUAUAUGGUGCGAUGCAAGACUUUUUUCUUUUCUUAACUCCUGAAAUUUGAGAUAGCCUGAGAAAAAUACCAGCAUGGACAAAAAUGAGGAAUCAGCUUUCCAUCUAAAUGCUAUUUUAAAAGAUCCCAUAAAUCACAGACUGCACCACUGCUGAUGACAUCUAUAAAACAUUUCCUGGUUGGACACAGGUCACUUUGACAUGGAACUGAAGGCAUGUAACCACUCCCCACCACCUCUGGUUUGGUGAUACAACAAAUCCAUUUGAGCCUCCAGCACAGGGCCAGGAGCACACCAGACCUGUGAAGGUUUAUUUCAGCACUCCUGAGUGGGUGCAGACUCCUGUGUUUUGGGGAAGGAUUUCCUGUGUGGCUGCUGGGGACAGGAGCACAGAACCACACCCAGCUGAUCCCUGCCAGACAUGCUCUCACCUCAGUGAGGAUUUUAGACCAAACAAGCAUCUUUUUGCUGGAGGUGAUGGUGGAAUUUUCACCCUGCAAAAAUUUUAGGGAUUACAAUCCCUUCCUGCAUGUAUCAUUUUUUUCCCCACUAAAACUCCUAAACCAGAUUUCUCCUGUGCGGUCACUGGCUCCUAUAUUAGACUCUUUCUGAAUCAUAAUCUCCAAAUCCUAUUCUGGCUCCAGACAGCAUCUCAUUUUUUGGCUGAGGAUUGAGGGAAGCCUCCUUCUCCCCAUAUGCAGGGACACAGAUAUCCUUUCGUGGUUGAUGCUAAACUGCUCUCCUCCCAAGACAAGACACAACAGCAUUUUUGCAGGCUCCAAGUGAUAAGGUGCAUCCAGGUGAGCUUUCCUGUGCUGCAGAGGCCGGAGCAGCAAUUCCCAGCACACCGAGCCUGUGAUCCAUCCUGUAGUGCUGCUCUGGGCACGCUACGGAGCUGGAGCUGCUCCCUCACACCCCGCAGGGUCCGGCAGGGCUGCCAGGACAGCAGCUGUUGGGAAGGAUGAAAGUUUGACAAGAAAGUCUC
rnacentral:lncRNA from 1 species